AGUCUACCCAAGUACACUCUUCCAUGUGAGUCUCUAUGGCUCUUAUGAAACUCUCCAAUUGGAGGCUAUUUUUACCAGGUGAUGAUAGAAAUUGGGAGUUGGGGAUUCAGGAGAACAGCACAGGCGGGGAUAAAAAACCAUUGAUAAAAAGAGCCAUUUGCCUCCCUUCUUGUUCCCUCUUUUAGAUUCUGGAUGAAGCUGCUCUUUCUGGUGUCUGCUGCUGUUUUGUUUCCUGUUCGCAGAUUGUCACUGUUGCCAGACUGCUUCUGAAAUGAUCUCCCCCGCCCUCCAAGGGAUGUUACCACCUCUUCAUUCUGUUCCUGCCACCUGAAUCGACCUGCCAUCCAUCGCUGAGCAGUUUCCCAGACUCAUACUUGGUUUCAAGGUCCUUUGUUAGUUUUCUCCUGGAAUUGAGGACCUACCAGCGAUCAAGACAGACAACAUUUCUCCCUUCCUGGAACUUUCUUUCUCAUGCGGGAAGCAGACAAUAAAGAAGUCAAGCAGCAAUGUAAUUUGAGAUCCUGCAUUUUAAUUCCCUGUGCGUGCGUGUUCAGUCGCUUCAGUCGUGUCCGACUCUGUGCGACCCUAUGGACUACAGCCUGCCAGGCUCCUCUGUCCAUGGGAUUCUCCAGGCAAGAAUAC